rnacentral:rRNA from 1 species
GCUCCUCUGACGUUAGCGGCGGACGGGUGAGUAACACGUGGAUAACCUACCUAUAAGACUGGGAUAACUUCGGGAAACCGGAGCUAAUACCGGAUAAUAUAUUGAACCGCAUGGUUCAAUAGUGAAAGACGGUUCUGCUGUCACUUAUAGAUGGAUCCGCGCCGCAUUAGCUAGUUGGUAAGGUAACGGCUUACCAAGGCAACGAUGCGUAGCCGACCUGAGAGGGUGAUCGGCCACACUGGAACUGAGACACGGUCCAGACUCCUACGGGAGGCAGCAGUAGGGAAUCUUCCGCAAUGGGCGAAAGCCUGACGGAGCAACGCCGCGUGAGUGAUGAAGGUCUUCGGAUCGUAAAACUCUGUUAUUAGGGAAGAACAAAUGUGUAAGUAACUAUGCACGUCUUGACGGUACCUAAUCAGAAAGCCACGGCUAACUACGUGCCAGCAGCCGCGGUAAUACGUAGGUGGCAAGCGUUAUCCGGAAUUAUUGGGCGUAAAGCGCGCGUAGGCGGUUUUUUAAGUCUGAUGUGAAAGCCCACGGCUCAACCGUGGAGGGUCAUUGGAAACUGGAAAACUUGAGUGCAGAAGAGGAAAGUGGAAUUCCAUGUGUAGCGGUGAAAUGCGCAGAGAUAUGGAGGAACACCAGUGGCGAAGGCGACUUUCUGGUCUGUAACUGACGCUGAUGUGCGAAAGCGUGGGGAUCAAACAGGAUUAGAUACCCUGGUAGUCCACGCCGUAAACGAUGAGUGCUAAGUGUUAGGGGGUUUCCGCCCCUUAGUGCUGCAGCUAACGCAUUAAGCACUCCGCCUGGGGAGUACGACCGCAAGGUUGAAACUCA